rnacentral:rRNA from 1 species
AACGAACGCUGGCGGCAUGCCUAACACAUGCAAGUCGAACGAUGCUUUCGGGCAUAGUGGCGCACGGGUGCGUAACGCGUGGGAAUCUGCCCUUGGGUUCGGAAUAACAGUGAGAAAUUGCUGCUAAUACCGGAUGAUGUCUUCGGACCAAAGAUUUAUCGCCCAGGGAUGAGCCCGCGUAGGAUUAGCUAGUUGGUGGGGUAAUGGCCUACCAAGGCGACGAUCCUUAGCUGGUCUGAGAGGAUGAUCAGCCACACUGGGACUGAGACACGGCCCAGACUCCUACGGGAGGCAGCAGUGGGGAAUAUUGGACAAUGGGCGCAAGCCUGAUCCAGCAAUGCCGCGUGAGUGAUGAAGGCCUUAGGGUUGUAAAGCUCUUUUACCCGGGAUGAUAAUGACAGUACCGGGAGAAUAAGCUCCGGCUAACUCCGUG